GUGAUCCGGUGGUUCUGAAUGGAAGGGCCAUCGCUCAACGGAUAAAAGGUACUCCGGGGAUAACAGGCUGAUACCGCCCAAGAGUUCAUAUCGACGGCGGUGUUUGGCACCUCGAUGUCGGCUCAUCACAUCCUGGGGCUGAAGUAGGUCCCAAGGGUAUGGCUGUUCGCCAUUUAAAGUGGUACGCGAGCUGGGUUUAGAACGUCGUGAGACAGUUCGGUCCCUAUCUGCCGUGGGCGCUGGAGAACUGAGGGGGGCUGCUCCUAGUACGAGAGGACCGGAGUGGACGCAUCACUGGUGUUCGGGUUGUCAUGCCAAUGGCACUGCCCGGUAGCUAAAUGCGGAAGAGAUAAGUGCUGAAAGCAUCUAAGCACGAAACUUGCCCCGA
rnacentral:rRNA from 3 species